rnacentral:rRNA from 1 species
GAUGAACGCUGGCGGCGUGCCUAAUACAUGCCAGUCGAGCGAACGGACGAGAAGCUUGCUUCUCUGAUGUUAGCGGCGGACGGGUGAGUAACAUGUGGAUAACCUACCUAUAAGACUGGGAUAACUUCGGGAAACCGGAGCUAAUACCGGAUAAUAUUUUGAACCGCAUGGUUCAAAAGUGAAAGACGGUCUUGCUGUCACUUAUAGAUGGAUCCGCGCUGCAUUAGCUAGUUGGUAAGGUGACGGCUUACCAAGGCAACGAUGCAUAGCCGACCUGAGAGGGUGAUCGGCCACACUGGAACUGAGACACGGUCCAGACUCCUACGGGAGGCAGCAGUAGGGAAUCUUCCGCAAUGGGCGAAAGCCUGACGGAGCAACGCCGCGUGAGUGAUGAAGGUCUUCGGAUCGUAAAACUCUGUUAUUAGGGAAGAACAUAUGUGUAAGUAACUGUGCACAUCUUGACGGUACCUAAUCAGAAAGCCACGGCUAACUACGUG